AUGAACGCUGGCGGCGUGCCUAAUACAUGCAAGUCGAGCGAACAGACGAGGAGUUUGCUCCUCUGACGUUAGCGGCGGACGGGUGAGUAACACGUGGAUAACCUACCUAUAAGACUGGGAUAACUUCGGGAAACCGGAGCUAAUACCGGAUAAUAUAUUGAACCGCAUGGUUCAAUAGUGAAAGACGGUUUUGCUGUCACUUAUAGAUGGAUCCGCGCCGCAUUAGCUAGUUGGUAAGGUAACGGCUUACCAAGGCAACGAUGCGUAGCCGACCUGAGAGGGUGAUCGGCCACACUGGAACUGAGACACGGUCCAGACUCCUACGGGAGGCAGCAGUAGGGAAUCUUCCGCAAUGGGCGAAAGCCUGACGGAGCAACGCCGCGUGAGUGAUGAAGGUCUUCGGAUCGUAAAACUCUGUUAUUAGGGAAGAACAAAUGUGUAAGUAACUAUGCACGUCUUGACGGUACCUAAUCAGAAGGCCACGGCUAACUACGUG
rnacentral:rRNA from 1 species